AGUGUGUGCUGACAGAUAUAGUACAGUAUUAAAGCUUUGCCUGUGCUGCUUAAUGCACAACUUAUUGCAUAAAAAAAUAACUUGUUUCUACCUUUGAUGCAUUGCAACCCCUUUCGGACUUUAAAAUAUUUUCCCCUUCUUAUCUUCCCUUUGAGAUGUGUACAACAUUGCCUACACAUCAGAUUUUGACUGCCUGAAAGAAGGAUCAUAGAGAAGUCUCAGCUGCAACAUGCAAGUGAUGAGGGACCACAACUGCAAGUACAGACAGCUGUUAGAAUUGUGCACAAGUGUUAUCCUUGCUCUCUGUCAGCAUCCAGGAAAGCACCACCAGGGGACUGGUGCACUGUAAGGCAGUAGUAUAGCUGGAGGUAUUCUGCCAGGGGGUUCCAUUCUGGUUUUGUCUCUUCUAAUAGCCAUUAUGUAUUAAUAUAUAGUGGUAAAUCACUUCUCAUAAUUAAUAUAAACGGUUGAGCAAACACUCAUACAUCAUACAUUCUUCAGGUGUUUGUGCUUGUGGAUACACAUUGUGAUGACCAAUAAGGCAGGAUGUAUUUGAAAUUUUAACCGUGCUGCUGUGCAACACAUAGCUUCAGACCUCACUGGGUCCAGAAGAGAGCAUGAAAUAUCAAAUCUCAUGUUUUAGAAGGAAAUGAUUCUUCUGGAGUCUUCUUGCUAUCUUCCUGCUAAGUUUGAGCAGAGAAGCCUCAUUUCUGCAUCAAAGUCCGUUCAGGUUCCAUACUAAGCAGUACAAGAUGAGGAGAGGCACUGCCACAGAACUAAUCAGAGUAUAGCUGAACACAGCCUUAGUGCCUGCACCACUUGAAACCACGUGUUAGCCUCAGGACAUGAGAGAUGUGCUUCAGCACUACAGAGCCUGCCACUAGGUUCACACUGACAGGUAUCUUCAGGCAGAGGAAAUGGGGCUGCUAUUCAAAAGCUAGUCAGCAAAAGUGAAGUGGCAUGGGUUGGAAUUAAAAAAAGAUAAAGUUGUAUUGCAGGGCUGUCAAAAAUUCAUUUCCCUACUGGGAGGGAUGAAUUAGUGGAUUUCACAGCAAGUGCCCACAAUUUCAUUGCUACUUAACAUAUUAGCAAGGUCAUGUUCUGUCCCUACAAUAGAUAAAAAGACAUUGAAUUGUAUCAACAGCUGAAUUGGAAUCUGAAGUACUCUUUAAAAUUUGCAGAUGGCAACAGUGAGCUGAAAAUCUACUUCAAGCAUUUUGUGAUGAAUGUUUUAAGAACUAGACAAGCACUUUUUUUUUCAUACAGAAAACAUUUUCCUCAUCAUUACUUACAUGAAAUCUGGUCAUUGUGGAGAGUUUGCUUCUGCAAUACCUUACAUACAUUUUGUACUCUUGGAAUUGUAGAUGCUUGAUAAAGUCUUUACCUUUAUUAUCACAUUCCCCUUACAUUUAUUGUAAAAUUAUUUUGAAUAAAAGUAACCAUUAGCAUGUCAGAUUGUAGGAAGUGUUCUAUAGCUAGCAGUUAUCCUUUAGAGAUCAAUUGUGAUCUCAGUUUAAGACUCCCAAGUAAAUUCCUAAUCAAGACAGUGUCCAAACAGACAUUGCUAAUGGGACUGGGAAAUAAAGGACUUAGGCAGGAGGGGGAAAAAAAAGGCAGUUCCCUCCUAGCCAGUGCCAUGGUCCCUUGCACCAACAGCCAUGGUGGGCUUAAUCCAGGGAGCAGGGACAUCAGAGAACAGGCAUGAUCUCCACAAAGCUGCCUCUCCAACAGGCCUUUUAUAAGUAAUACUGUAAGGCCACAUAAUUUUGAUUUAAAACUGGUGCUUACCAACAACGGUAGGAGUUGGUGAGAACUGGAACAGGGUGUGCCAGAAUGAUUCAAUGACCGAGCCUGGGAAAGGGCACAGCCUCUUCAGGGUGAGCUAACAUGAAAGCUUCGUUAGGCAUUAAAACAGGAUUUCUAAACAAGCUAACAAGUGUUCAACUGUAGACCAGUUAAAAUUUCCAUAGAAAAUAAAAAUAAAACUUGCUAACAGUUUGCCUGCAGGACUUCUGGAGUCAGUUUUCAGUAUACACUGAGGUUCUCCAAGUUCUUUGCAGAAUAAAAGCAGUGAUUCAUUCAAGAAGCUCUACUGAUUGCACAACAUUUCCUAUCUAGGAUUUAAGGAGGUUGUGUACACUGGCAGAGCAUGAGGAUGAAUUAAGCCUUUCUUUGUUUUUAAUCUGAGUCUUUUCAUAGCUAUGUUUAGUAUAACCUAAAUGCACUUUCAAAAGUUAAUAAAUUGACUUUCCCUCUGCA